UACAGAGGGGGCAAGCGUUGUUCGGAAUUACUGGGCGUAAAGGGCGCGUAGGCGGCCUGUUAAGUCGAACGUGAAAUCCCCGGGCUCAACCCGGGAACUGCGUCCGAUACUGGCAGGCUUGAAUUCGGGAGAGGGAUGUGGAAUUCCAGGUGUAGCGGUGAAAUGCGUAGAUAUCUGGAGGAACACCGGUGGCGAAGGCAGCAUCCUGGACCGAUAUUGACGCUGAUGCGCGAAAGCCAGGGGAGCAAACGGG
rnacentral:rRNA from 1 species